rnacentral:lncRNA from 1 species
GGACCCAUCUACCCUGACCACAUCAUGAUGUUCAUCUGCAGCUGUUGCAAGGUGUUCAGAUUGUAUAAACAUAAAUGUCACAAAAACUUUAAAAGAAGUGCAAUUCUCAAAAGGUUAGGUGGACUAAAGCAUUCUGUAAAGCAACUGCUAAUAAUGAGCUUACAGUGGAUUUGAAUUUGAAAAAUAUAGUAACAAGCCUGUCAAAUAUCUGCAAGAACUAUGGAAUAAAACUACUGAUGCAGUGAAGACAGUUGAAAAGAUCAAACAAAUGCCAAGCUAUAUUUAUAAUGAACAAAUUCAAGAAAAAGGACUACGGAAAGUUCAGGACAUCAAAGAAGUCAGGCAAAACUCAUCUUGACCCCUGUUGCAGGCAAAGGAACGCAGCUGGAAGAAAAGAUGAUAUAACAGUUAACAGGAUGCAGACAUGGCAGAGGUUUCC